GACAGAGGCCCCGAGCGUUAGGCGGAAUCAUUGGGCGUAAAGAGCGUGUAGGCGGCCAGAUAAGUCCGCUGUGAAAUCUCGAGGCUCAACUUCGAGCUGUCGGUGGAAACUGUCUGGCUAGAGUCCGGAAGAGGAGAAUGGAAUUCCUGGUGUAGCGGUGAGAUGCGCAGAUAUCAGGAAGAACACCCGUGGCGAAGGCGGUUCUCUGGGACGGUACUGACGCUGAGACGCGAAAGCGUGGGGAGCGAACAGG
rnacentral:rRNA from 1 species